rnacentral:rRNA from 1 species
CCCUUAGACGUUCUGGGCCGCACGCGCGCUACACUGACCAGUGCAACAAGCAUCCGUCCUUGGCCGACAGGCUCGGGCAAUCUUUGAACGCUGGUCGUGAUGGGGAUAGACUUUUGCAAUUUUUGGUCUUCAACGAGGAAUUCCUAGUAAACGCAAGUCAUCAACUUGCAUUGAUUACGUCCCUGCCCUUUGUACACACCGCCCGUCGCACCUACCGAUCGAAGGUAAUGAUGAGCCCUCAGGAUUGUGGCCUCGUCGCGUCAGCGUCUUGGCUGCGAGAAUCUGUGCAAAUCCCUACCUUUAGAGGAAGGUGAAGUCGUAACA